AACUUUCAACAACGGAUCACUUGGCUCUCCCAUCGAUGAAGAACGCAGCGAAAUGCGAUAAGUAAUGUGAAUUGCAGAAUUCAGCGAAUCAUCGAAUCUUUGAACGCACCUUGCGCUCUUUGGUAUUCCGCAGAGCAUGCCUGUUUGAGUGUCAUGAAAAUAUCAACCUUGACUUGGGUUUAGUGCUCUUGUCCUGGCGUGGAUUUGGCUGCUUGCCGUUCGAAAGAGUCGGCUCAGCUUAAACUUAUUCGCUGGAUCUGUCUUUUAAACUUGGUUUGACUUGUCGUAAUAAGUUAUUUCUCUGAGCACAAUCUUCGUAUUGCCCGAGUUUCUGAGACGUUUGUCCUCUUUCUAAUACAAGUUCUAGCUUGCUAGACAUGUCUUUUUUAUUAUCUGGCCUCUAAUCAGGUAGGACUACCCGCUGAACUUAAGCAUAUCAAUAAGCGGAGGCU
rnacentral:misc_RNA from 1 species